AACGAACGCUGGCGGCGUGCUUAACACAUGCAAGUCGUACGAGAAAUCUUGGGCAACUGAGUGAGUAAAGUGGCGCACGGGUGAGUAACGCGUGGGUAACCUACCCUUGAGUUGGGGAUAACUCCGCGAAAGCGGGGCUAAUACCGAAUCCUAUGUCGAGGCCUUCGGGCUUUGACAUCAAAGAUGGCCUCUGCGUGCAAGCUAUCGCUUAAGGAUGGGCCCGCGUACCAUUAGCUUGUUGGUAGGGUAAUGGCCUACCAAGGCAACGAUGGUUAGCUGGUCUGAGAGGAUGACCAGCCACACUGGAACUGAGAUACGGUCCAGACUCCUACGGGAGGCAG
rnacentral:rRNA from 1 species